rnacentral:rRNA from 1 species
UACGUAGGUGGCAAGCGUUGUCCGGAUUUACUGGGCGUAAAGGAUGCGUAGGUGGACAUUUAAGUCAGAUGUGAAAUACCCGAGCUUAACUUGGGUGCUGCAUUUGAAACUGGGUGUCUAGAGUGCAGGAGAGGUAAGUGGAAUUCCUAGUGUAGCGGUGAAAUGCGUAGAGAUUAGGAAGAACACCAGUGGCGAAGGCGACUUACUGGACUGUAACUGACGCUGAGGAAUGAAAGCGUGGGGAGCAAACAGG